CGGACGACGCUGGCGGCGUGCUUAACACAUGCAAGUCGAACGGUGACGAGGAGCUUGCUCCUCUGAUCAGUGGCGAACGGGUGAGUAACACGUGAGCAACCUGCCCCAGACUCUGGGAUAACAGUUGGAAACAGCUGCUAAUACCGGAUACGAGACGGAGAGGCAUCUCUACCGUCUGGAAAGUUUUUCGGUCUGGGAUGGACUCGCGGCCUAUCAGCUAGUUGGUGAGGUAAUGGCUCACCAAGGCGACGACGGGUAGCCGGCCUGAGAGGGCGACCGGCCACACUGGGACUGAGACACGGCCCAGACUCCUACGGGAGGCAGCAGUGGGGAAUAUUGCACAAUGGGCGAAAGCCUGAUGCAGCGACGCCGCGUGAGGGAUGACGGCCUUCGGGUUGUAAACCUCUUUCAGCAGGGAAGAAGCGAAAGUGACGGUACCUGCAGAAGAAGCACCGGCUAACUACGUG
rnacentral:rRNA from 1 species